rnacentral:lncRNA from 1 species
CAAAAAUUGCCUAAUCAGAAUUCUUUGAAUUGCCCGUCCUAUCCAAAAGACAUCGUUUCCUUUUUGACGGUAUCAAUUCUCAGGAAAGCUUGUUCUUCAAAAACCUGUUGAUAUGCUAUGUGAAACUUUCCUUUCUUCUUUCCCCUUCUUCGGUCAAUUUCAGUCUGGUUCUCGCAUCCAGUCAGCAUUCUUUUGUUUUUCGACAUACCUAGGGACGUUCUUUAGUAGGUAAAACUCCCCACUCUUUUUUAAAUAUUAUGUUGCUAGUAUAUGGGCUAAACCAUUUGCUGAUCUCGGAGUAUAUCUGAAUACAAUAUUAUUGAAUCCAACUGUUAUCUGUUGAAUAUCAUGUAUAUAUGCUCCUACUUGUGAUCUGUCUUGACUUUUUUAUUAUCACUUCUUGAUGAUGGCUAAUAAGUCUCUUUCAGUAAUGAUUUCCGGCCACUACAUUUCAAUGCCUAUUUAGACUACUUUACGGCAUGCAAGUACUUCAUUAACGAAAAUGGAGGCCACGUCUUUAUGGGUCUCUAAGCAGGAUAAAAAAAGAUCCCCUCAACGUUUCUGACCACAAAACCCGAGGCUAAUUUUUAGUGACACCCAUCAUAUGCACCGUCAAAAUUGAUCUUAACAAUAGAACCAGGUGGGUGACUCCAUUCUCUCAGCUCCUGCAGUUUUGAGGAUUUUUUUCGAUAUCGUUUAACUCAAUUAUGUAAUUUUUAACAAAUCUCGCUAUUUCCUAACUAGUGCUAAUUUUCCUCUCAUGGAUUCUAGCAUUUCUAUCUCCCCAAAUGGCCCAGAGCUCAAAACAGAAUAUUCGACAGUGGUGGGGGGACACUCAUAAAAAACCUAGGUAAGCCACUGUGUAAAAUCUAUAGUAGUAUCAAUAAGAGUAUUCGAGAAUAAUAAUGCUGUCUAGACUUCAACUGAAAUAGGGCAUUCGCGGAACAGAUGAUCACUUGUUUCAACCCCUCUUCCAUAUUAGGGACAGGUUGUAUUAGUGACUAGUUUCCCAUGAUGCAUGUUGACUAGUGUAGGCAAGUAGUUCCAUGAUACCCUCUAGAUUCUAAUUUUUAUUUUACUAGGGAGAUUUUGAUGCUUGAGUUUUUUUUGGUAGAAGUUUCUAUAGUUGGUUUGUAAAACAUAAGCUCUAGGAUUAGCACAUGAAUUUUGUAAUAGUUUAUACGCGUUACGAACCAAAAAUUUACUGAAGGCUCACCAUUCCAUAUGAGAAAAUCAUGUGGUUUUUGUGCCAGCGAGAUACGGAGUAUCUUCUCAGCAUCUCCCUCCAAAAAGGUAUUAACAAUCAACUUUCGUUUCCAUAUUUGAUUAUUUGUAUCAAUUAACUUAGCAACUUUAGAAUCUUUCAUAUUACGAACAAGAGAAGAUAAUUUGAAAGUUUUUGCAUUUGGAAUCCAAGCAUCAUUAUUAAUUGUAACAUUCAUACCUGUACCCACACUUCAGCAAAGCCCUUUUGCCAAAAUACCAUCCGUCGCCCAAAUACUUCUCCAUGUGUUGUAUUCCCCAAUCGCGAGUUAAUGAAGUCAUUAUUUGGGAAAUACUUUGCUUUAAGCACUCGUGAAAAUAGAGAAUUUGGGUUGUUAAUAAUCCGCUAGUCUUGUUUUGCCAGUAAGGAAAUAUUAAACUGACCAUACUUCUAAAACCUAUUCCCCCUUCAUCUUUUGAACGACACAUAUGCUUCCACUGGCACCAGUGUAUUCCUUUCUUCUCAUGUCCUUUUUGCAACCAAAAUUUAGCUAAAAUGUUUUCUAAUUCCCACAUAAGGAUUUCAAAAUUAGAAAGCAUGACAUAGCAUAAGUUGGUAUUACAUGGAGCACUGAUUUUAUGAAGAUCUCCUUACCCCAUUAUGAUAGUAGUGUUGUACUCCAUCAUUCGAUUCGAAAAUAUACCCUAUCCAUAAGAUUUUGAAAGGAUUCUUUCUUUCAUCUGCCCACCACAUUUUGGAGUCCCAAAUAUUUUUUGGGUCCGUUGAACUUCUCACACCCUACAAAGUCGAUAUUCUUCCUUUUUCCCUUCUCUUUUGUAUUUAAAUUGUAGAAGAUAGUUGAUUUGUUAAAAUUCACACAUUGGCCUGAACAUUGUUCGUAUUCCAUCAUAAUUUCUUUCAAAACCAACGUUAUUUUAUUUGUUGAUUCACCAAAUAGGAUACAAUCAUCCGCGAAGAGUAAGUGUGAUAUCUUUGGUCCCCUUCUGCUAGCUUUUGCUCCUUUUAACAAUCCCUCUCGCAUAGCUAGUCUCAUUAAAGAUGAAAGUCCCUCACUACAUAGUAGAAAAAGGAAAGGACUAAGUGGGUCGCCUUGUUGGGGCCCCAUUGUAGGUUUGAAAAUGUUUCCGCUUUUCCCAUUAAUUUUUACUACGUAAGAAAUCGUGGAAAUACAUUUCAUAAUUAGUGCCACCAAUUCUGCUGCAAAGCCCAUUCGUAGCAUUACUUCCUUUAGAAAGCUCCAUUCAACUCUAUAUAAGCUUUGCUCAUAUCGAGCUUUACUGCCAUAUAUCCUUUCUUUUUGGUAUGUUUCUAGCGAAAAGUGUGUAAAAUCUUAUAGGCUAAUAGCACAUUUUCAAAAAUUAAUCUUUCGAGAACGAAAGCACUUUGAGCACUGUCAAUACAUUUCCCAAUAACUCCUUAAAGAUGAUUUGGUAUUGUUUUCUCCACAAUUUUAUAAAUGAUAGUACACAAACUAAAAGGUCUAAAAUUAACAAGACUUGUAGGGUUCAGGAUUUUUGGAAUAAGCACAAUAUUCGUCAAAUUUAUAGAGUCAAAACCAUUAACAUCAUUCAAAAUUCUGACAUCUUUACCUACAAUGUGCCAAUAUCUCUAAAAGAAUAAUACCGGAAAACCAUCUGUUCCUGGUGCUUUAAUAGGACCCAUUCCUUUUAAAGCUGAAUAAACCUUUUCUGUCGUGUAUGUUGAUAAUAAAGUUGUAUUGAUAUUAGAGGAGAUACUAGAGUCGAUACCCGUUAGUAGAUGGGAUAAAUUCCCAAUCUCAUUAGAUGAAAAUAACUUCUGAAAAACAUAGUGGUAACCUCACUAAUCUCAUCUUCGUCGCAGAUCUCCUUUCCUUCAUCUAAUUCCAGCCUAUUUAUUGUGUUUAUCUAUCCACAAAAUAAGGCAUGUUUAUGAAAGAAGGCUGAAUUCUUGUCCCCUAGUUGAAGCCAAUUGGCCCAUGCUGUUUGUUCCCAAAACAUCUCAUCUUUAUCAAUCUCCAAAUUAAGUUCAAUUUUUGUAUCAAUUAGCGUUGUCAUUGUGUCUUCACCCCUCUCUUUCUCUAAAAAAUUUCUAACUCCUUAGUAAGUUUCCAUUUUAAACCUUCCCAACCUUUCUUAAUUAUACUUGCCCACCUCUUCAGUCUGAAUUGCAACCUUUCUAGUUUUUCAAUGAGCAUACCAGUUGAGGACUCCCAAGAGUUCUUAAUUUCUUAUUCAAUAGAUUCUUCCAUAGUCUACCACGCCUCAAAUUUAAACCUUGGGAUCCCCAUACAAAUUCUUGCAUUAUAUGUAUUUAGGAGAAGGAGGUAGUGGUUCGAUAUUGAGUGUGGUAAAUGUCGGAUACUGCCUUUUGAAAAAAGAUACAACUAUUUUUCAUUCGCAACUCCCCUGUCUAAUCUCUCCAUGAUGUUUGUUUCUGGCAAGUUCCCUUUCUCUAAUGUAAACCAUACCCCAGUAUACCCUACAUCCAUUAAUUGGCAUUCUUCAACAACAUCACAGAAUGCCUCCAUUCUUCUCUCCUCCCUCGGUAUUCCUCUAGUCUUUUCAAAUGAAUACAUGAUUUCGUUGAAGUCGCCACUUACCAACCAAGGAUAGUCUUUAUCCUGACCUAGUUUUCUUAAUAAAUUCAAAGAAACAUUCUUAUUACUUACACAAGGUGCACCAUAAAACCCCGUAAAUCUCUAUUCCUUAGCAACAUUAUCCUCCUUAAUCAAAGCAUCAAUGUGGCUUUUGGAGAAACUCCUUAACUUAACAGUAACUUCCCCUUUCCACGCCAAGCAUAGCCACCACGUAAACCUUUCGCUCCCAAAUCAAUUCCAUUCACAAAACUGCAUCUCCUUCUGACUUUUUCUAUACGUUUCUCAUCAAUUUUUGUCUCCAUAAAGAAGACCAUCUGGGGAUUGUGUUGCUUCAGCAAAUACCAAAGCCUAUGUACAGCCCAUAGACUCUCCAGUCCACGAACAUUCCAACAUAUAAUUUUCUUUGCGUCCGGUCAGCUUGCCUUUUGGCAGUCUCCGAUCCAUAUUGAUUGGGAACACAAAAUUGUUCUGAGUUUUCCAACGCCUAAUCUAAAGGAGUUACUACAUGUACAUCUUUAUUCUCGUGUUUUGUCCUUUUAUAUCCGUCUUCACAAGAAUUCAUCAUACUUCGCUCUUCAGUUUCUAUUUUUGCUUAUUUCCUCUUUCUCAUUAUGCUUUCUUCCUCAACUUGAUUCAUCAUUACCCCUGGUCUAAUUAUUUUCCAGCUUGUCUUCUUAACUGAUUUAGAUUUGUCUUCCAGUAUACUGUCUAUCCCGUUCAAUCUCUCAAUGUUCUCCAUAACAGACCCUUCUUCUUGUAUAUCACCUUCAUUAUGACAUUUGAACAUUCCAUCCUCAUACCUUGAUUUUGGUGCUGUAAACAUCCCCGACUGCCUAGUGUCGUACAUUAAGAUUUUUUAUUUUAAAUCUAUAUACGUCUUCUUUGCCUCCUCUUUUCGUUUUAGUUGUAAAUUAUCUUACAGGCUCUAAAACAUAGCAUUCCCAUCAUUUAGCUUUUUAUUUAUCCCAGAAAGCAUCCCAAUGUCACCUGUGUAGGAACAUUGGGGCAUCAUCUUUUUAGAGAGGGAGCUAAAUUUCAAAAUUUCUUUCCCAAUUUUAAAUUUAGUUAAGCUUUUAGUGCUAAUGAAUAUGGUAAAUCAUCUCCAAGUUUGUUCUUUUCUGCAGGUUUUAACUCGAUACAGUCCUUGAACCCAUACCUCAUUCGUCUACAUACAAAGAAGAAAGUCACCAAAUUCUCAUAUUUAAAGGAGAUACACGAUUUCCUUUGAAUACCUUCUGAGACGAAAAUUCUCCUACAUAGACGUUUCUGCACAUCCAAUUGGACUCUAAGAUGAUAAAAUUCUCCUUUCAGAUCUAAUUACUCCUCCAAAAGUAACUACUAUGGCUUUUAGGAAAUUUUUUUUGUCGAAUUCUGGUAAAUACGAUCCAAUCUUGAUCCAAUACGGUGAAGAAAUAAGCCGAAUUUGACUUCUUUCCAUCGGUUUAACCAACCGAUUGAAGAGUAUAAGUUGUUUCAUAAAUAGCCAUGGUCGACCCUCUAUAACUGUCUCUAGAUCUUCUUCAGUUUCAAACACAACCAAAAACAGAUUUUGCCCUGCCAGUUGAAUAUCAAAUUUUUUCCUAGUAUUCCAAAUACUUUUCAUUUGUGCCCUAAAACUGUCUGGAUUGUAAGAUUUUCCUAUCCAUACAGUACAUAACAAAGUUGGUUUCUCACUUGGUACAACCAUCGAGCUUUUGAUCGAUGAUUGGACGAGCUCUUUCGCCAGAAGGGAGAUCUCGUCUCUUCCCAAACUCUCUACGCCACUACUUUUCUCCAUCUCAAACCACAGUAGUUAUUGUUUUCUCUAUGACACUUAAGAAAAGCACUCUUGGCUAUUUUACAAUUAUAUAUAAAAUAAAACUAAUGUUUAACACUAUAAAUAUAUGCAUUAGUAAGGCAAUUUCAUUCAAGA